ACCAAGCCGACGAUCUGUAGCUGGUCUGAGAGGACGACCAGCCACACUGGGACUGAGACACGGCCCAGACUCCUACGGGAGGCAGCAGUGGGGAAUUUUGGACAAUGGGCGAAAGCCUGAUCCAGCCAUGCCGCGUGCAGGAUGAAGGCCUUCGGGUUGUAAACUGCUUUUGUACGGAACGAAAAGACUCUGGUUAAUACCUGGGGUCCAUGACGGUACCGUAAGAAUAAGCACCGGCUAACUACGUGCCAGCAGCCGCGGUAAUACGUAGGGUGCAAGCGUUAAUCGGAAUUACUGGGCGUAAAGCGUGCGCAGGCGGUUAUAUAAGACAGAUGUGAAGUCCCCGGGCUCAACCUGGGAACUGCAUUUGUGACUGUAUAGCUAGAGUACGGUAGAGGGGGAUG
rnacentral:rRNA from 1 species